rnacentral:rRNA from 1 species
UGCGGAAGGUCCUGGCGUUAUCCGGAUUUAUUGGGUUUAAAGGGAGCGCAGGCGGGUUGUUAAGCGUGACGUGAAAUGUAGCCGCUCAACGGCUGAACUGCGUCGCGAACUGGCAGUCUUGAGUGAGUACGACGCGAACGGAAUUCGUGGUGUAGCGGUGAAAUGCUUAGAUAUCACGGAGAACCCCGAUUGCGAAGGCAGUCCGCGAGUCCUUUACUGACGCUAAAGCUCGAAGGUGCGGGUAUCGAAC